GACGAACGCUGGCGGCGUGCUUAACACAUGCAAGUCGAACGGUGAAGCGCUUGCCUUUUUGGUGGGUGUGGAUGAGUGGCGCACGGGUGAGUAACACGUGAGUAACCUGCCCUCUUCUUCUGGAUAACCUCAUGAAAGUGGGGCUAAUACGGGGUAUUCCGGGUCUGUCGCAUGGCGGGUUUGGGAAAGAUUGCGCCUUUGGGUGUUUUCGGUGGGGGAUGGGCUCGCGGCCUAUCAGCUUGUUGGUGGGGUGAUGGCCUACCAAGGCGGUGACGGGUAGCCGGCCUGAGAGGGUGGACGGCCACACUGGGACUGAGACACGGCCCAGACUCCUGCGGGAGGCAGCAGUGGGGAAUAUUGCACAAUGGGCGCAAGCCUGAUGCAGCGACGCCGCGUGAGGGAUGGAGGCCUUCGGGUUGUGAACCUCUUUCGCCAGUGAAGCAGGCCUGCUCCUGUGUGGGUGGGUUGACGGUAGCUGGAUAAGAAGCGCCGGCUAACUACGUG
rnacentral:rRNA from 1 species